GAGUUUGAUCUUGGCUCAGAUUGAACGCUGGCGGCAUGCCUUACACAUGCAAGUCGAACGGCAGCACGGGAGCUUGCUCCUGGUGGCAAGUGGCGAACGGGUGAGUAAUGCAUCGGAACGUAUCCUGGAGUGGGGGAUAACGUAGCGAAAGUUACGCUAAUACCGCAUAUUCUGUGAGCAGGAAAGCGGGGGACCUUCGGGCCUCGCGCUCUUGGAGCGGCCGAUGUCGGAUUAGCUAGUUGGUGAGGUAAAGGCUCACCAAGGCGACGAUCCGUAGCAGGUCUGAGAGGAUGAUCUGCCACACUGGAACUGAGACACGGUCCAGACUCCUACGGGAGGCAGCAGUGGGGAAUUUUGGACAAUGGGGGCAACCCUGAUCCAGCCAUGCCGCGUGAGUGAAGAAGGCCU
rnacentral:rRNA from 1 species